GCAUUGGAGAUUAAGUGGUAGAGCUCUUGCCUUCCACGUAGGAGACGCAGGCUUCAUUCCUGGCCAAUGCA
rnacentral:tRNA from 1 species